AAUGCCUAGGAAUCUGCCCGAUAGUGGGGGACAACGUUUCGAAAGGAACGCUAAUACCGCAUACGUCCUACGGGAGAAAGUGGGGGAUCUUCGGACCUCACGCUAUCGGAUGAGCCUAGGUCGGAUUAGCUAGUUGGUGGGGUAAAGGCUCACCAAGGCGACGAUCCGUAACUGGUCUGAGAGGAUGAUCAGUCACACUGGAACUGAGACACGGUCCAGACUCCUACGGGAGGCAGCAGUGGGGAAUAUUGGACAAUGGGCGAAAGCCUGAUCCAGCCAUGCCGCGUGUGUGAAGAAGGUCUUCGGAUUGUAAAGCACUUUAAGUUGGGAGGAAGGGCAUUAACCUAAUACGUUAGUGUUUUGACGUUACCGACAGAAUAAGCACCGGCUAACUUCGUGCCAGCAGCCGCGGUAAUACAGAGGGUGCGAGCGUUAAUCGGAUUUACUGGGCGUAAAGCGUGCGUAGGUGGCCAAUUAAGUCAAAUGUGAAAUCCCCGAGCUUAACUUGGGAAUUGCAUUCGAUACUGGUUGGCUAGAGUAUGGGAGAGGAUGGUAGAAUUCCAGGUGUAGCGGUGAAAUGCGUAGAGAUCUGGAGG
rnacentral:rRNA from 1 species